UACGGAGGGUACGAGCGUUGUCCGGAAUCACUGGGCGUAAAGGGCGCGUAGGCGGCGCGGGGAGUCAACGGUGAAAGCCCCGGGCUCAACCUGGGAAUGGCCGUUGAAACUGGCGAACUGGAGUGUGGCAGAGGGGGGUGGAAUUCCGCGUGUAGCAGUGAAAUGCGUAGAGAUGCGGAGGAACACCGAUGGCGAAGGCAGCCCCCUGGGCUGACACUGACGCCUCAGGCACGAAAGCGUGGGGAGCAAACAGG
rnacentral:rRNA from 1 species